UGGGUGUGAAAUUUCUGUUUGGGUGGUUGGUCUCAGAAGAUCUUUGAGGUGAACAUGCUGGAUGUGGAGGUCCUGGCCUGGUGUGGUUUCACUUGGUCUGCAGUUGUGAGGCUGGUUGGAUGUAUUGCCAAAUUCUCUGAAAAGCUUUUGGAGACAACUUAUGGUUG